AACUUUUGGGGAGACAUCCGAUAAAAUUGGAACGAUAAAGAGAAGAUUAGCAUGAUCCCUACGCAAGGAUGACACGCACAAAUCGAGAAAUGGUCCAAAUGGUC
rnacentral:snRNA from 1 species